GGCAAGGGUCAUAUUCUCCCCUCCAGCCUUGGGAAGGACUCAGGCUCCUAGUUCCUCAUUUUCAGUCUUUAAAAUUCACAUUAGGACUUCCGAUCUCCAACCCCGUGGAUGAUAAAUCUGCAAAGUCUGAGGUAGCUUCUCAGGCACACUAAAUUUCUGAGAACUGGAAGUAUAGUGACGAUUGAAGAUCUGGAUUCCAUCUGACUCUGGUGUUGUGAGUGGUCUGCUGGGACUCAGUUUCCCCAGCUGUAAACAAAGGCAGCUGUGCGGGAAGGCUUGGUUCCGGCGACAGAACACAAAAUGAGAAGAAAAGCCUGUUGAUGGUCGACCCAGCUGAAGGAAGCCUGGCUCCCAUCUUCUAGGACACACUGUCCACCCACAGCUCUGAAUGAGCCGUCACCCUGGAGGCUCACUUAGAUUUGAGGAAAAUCCUUUCUGACCCUUGCGGUCAAGGGAGGCUCUUGCUAUUUACCAUGUGGAUACUGAGCAAACAUGUGGGUCCCUGUGCUGGCUUUUGAUGUACUCAGUAAACAUUGCUGCUGGAUGCAGCCAACUGUCCAAUUACAAAAGAUUCAACACUCUUCCCCCUGGGUCUCUGUUGUCUUAAAGAGCCAGGACCUAGUGUGACCGAAGAGUUUGCAUAGCACGCAUCAUACAGAGAGUACUCAUUCUGGGGGAAGCUUUGGUCCCAGAGGGCCAAGCCAUCUUUUGGAAGACAAUCACAGAAGACCGCUUCUGGACCACACAGGUCUGGGACAGCCAGAUUCAGUAAAGGUGUUUGCAUUCUGCUAAGAUUAGAAGCUCUCUAGGAGAACAGAGUUAGCUGCAGGGGCCAAACGCUGAUAUGUGUCCCAUUGGGAUUGGAAGGUUAUUUCAAAGAGAAAUGGUUACAAACCCUGGCUGACAGUUAAGUAUAUGUGCCAACUCCCUUACCUUCCUUAGUUCCAAAGCUGGUGCUGUUCUCAUUUGGGCCACUCUCCUGAGGUUGGGAAAGGGGAUGGGUCUUCCUGGGGAAUCCAGGAGGGGGUGGCCACACUCUUGAAGGGCUGAGGAGACUGUGGAUUCCUGGAGAUGGUUGACACAGGGACAUAGCUCAGUACCUAUCAAAAUGUCCUUCCUUCCCCUUGCCCACACUUCCUCAGAAGUGCCCAUGGCAUAUCUUGUCCCCAGGAGUUUCCACCCCAGAGAUCUGUCUGACUAGAGUCUGCAUGGAUGCCCUACCUCUCUGUCUAAAAUAAGAUCAUGGCCUCAUUUACUCUCA